GCUGGGUCCACAAUGCGUGGUCGUGUCAUUCUGUCAGGGGUUUGUGUCGUGGAGGCGUGGAUGAGAGAAGGAGGACCCAAACGCUGGACUCACAGGUAGAGGGAUUUGGCAUACUUCUGGUAGCUGGUAACGUGGUCCCCCACAUAGCUGCAGAGUGCUAGGAUUUUCCGCAGCACUUUCCCUGAUGAUGGGGGUCAGAUCUGUUUGAGCUUCUCUCUGUAUCUGACAGAGAGAAGUGUGGAUAACUGGAUUCCCAGGUUCAGGGGGUAGUGCCGUUCUGCCACAGUGUAUGACCAAAGACCGUUGGGCGGUUUUGCAGACGGCCGGCGUGCCAGACCAGACAAGGCCAGACCUGACGACGCGACGACCUCUGGCUGGAACAGAGCGUGCUGAGGCUGCACAGAUCCUGCAGCCAGCUUGGCUUUCACAGGCUGGGGCUGCGCAGAGGGCUUGCCAGAGCCUCUGGCCGAAGAGGAA
ensembl:lncRNA